AGUUUCCUCUCCACACUCCACUUACAACUUUCUUACCAAAUUUUCCUUUUCGGGUAUUGCUUCCCAACCUCAGGUACCCAAAGAGCAUCCGAGUGAAGAUAUCUGCAAUUUGUUCUAUUCUAGUUCAAAAAGAAGCUGAAUUGAAGCUCAUGAUUAAAGCAAAAGAUGAGGUAUAUAUGCUUAACUUGACUAGUGGGGUUGUAAUAUGGGCAAGAAAGGAAUCAUAAUCACUCACUUGUAACUUUCAGUUAAGUGUUUAACAAGCUUUCAUCAUAAAUCGUUGGAUUAGCAUUUUACAAAUAGGCAACAAAGCACAUGAUAAAGCAAAAGAUCAGGUAUAUGUGCUUAGCUUGAUAAGUGGGAUUGUAACAUGCAGAGGAAACGAAUCACAUUAUCAAGGCCAUGUAUAUAAUAUACACAUUCUAAGGGAAGUGGAAGAGAAAACACAUUAUCAAUAAACAAAGAGAGAUGGGAGAGAUUCACCAUAAGUAACUCAUCCCUGCAGCUGUGAGCUGUGGAUAAAUUAGAAUAUGGGUUUGGAGAUGAGUAGUACUGCCGCCAGUAAAGAUGAGGACCAGAGCAAAGA